rnacentral:lncRNA from 1 species
CGGCCGGCUGCGCGCAGCUUCCGGGCCUUGGCAGCUUCCUUCUUCACCCGGCGAAUCUCCUUUGCCUUCGCACGUUUGGCGGCCAGCUUGGCGCUGCGCGCGCUGUUCGGGUCUGCCGCCUUUCCGGGGGCGUCCCCUUUUUUCAGAGCUGCAUUCUCUGCCUGCAGCUUUGCCAGCUGGGCCUUAAGUGCCGCCACAUCAUCGCUGCCCUCUGCUGGUGAGGCUUCCAUAGCAGCGCU